CCUACGGGUGGCUGCAGUGAGGAAUUUUCCGCAAUGGGCGCAAGCCUGACGGAGCGACGCCGCGUGAGGGAUGAAGGCUUUCGGGUUGUAAACCUCUUUUGCAGGGGAAAAAGGUACAUGUGCUCAUACCACGUGUAUUUGAUGGUACUUUGCGAAUAAGCCCCGGCUAACUACGUGCCAGCAGCCGCGGUAAUACGUAGGGGGCGAGCGUUGUCCGGAGUUACUGGGCGUAAAGGGCGUGUAGGCGGUUGGAUAAGUCUGGUGUGAAAUUCUCUGGCUUAACCAGGGAGCUGCGCUGGAAACUGUCUGACUGGAGUUCGGUAGGGGUCACUGGAAUCCCCGGUGUAACGGUGAAAUGUGUAGAUAUCGGGGGGAACACCUGUGGCGAAGGCGGGUGACUGGGCCGCAACUGACGCUGAGACGCGAAAGCGUGGGGAGCAAACAGGAUUAGAUACCCCUGUAGUC
rnacentral:rRNA from 1 species